ensembl:lncRNA
CGGGGUUGUGGGGAGAUUUCCUUACCAAUGAUGCAUGGAUCUGACAACGCUCCAGCCUGGCUUGCCCAGAGGCAGACUGUGUGUGUGCAAGAGAGAGAGCGUGUGCUAUAAUCCAGUGCUAUACCCCUUUGAACAGCUGUUCUCUGUAGUGUGUCUUUGUAAAUUUUGGGAGUGUGUUGUUCGUUAUAAACAGCGCACUCCAUAGAAAGUCUCCUCUCAGACAAGUGGUCAAGCAGGAAGCCUCUGGUACAACAGGAAGCUCCAAGUAGCGUUGGCGAAAUAAAUAUUUAUCUCUAUCUCCCACUAUGCUGAGUGAUGCAUGACCCAGAGUUCAAAGACAAGGAGGAGCACAGACUCCUGAUGCUCCCAAGCUAUUAGGGUGUAAGAUAACAUGUGUGUCAAAUGAAGGGCGUCAUGUAGAUGAGACAAUGAAUGGGAAUUUUUAUAUAUUUUCCAAUAUAUAAGGUGAUGGACAAGAUGCAACUCGAUUCUGAUGCAUUUGAAAGCGUCUUGUAAAGAGAAAUAUGCCUGGAAGGCCCGGGCUCAUGUAACCAACCCUUACAAAGACAAAGCUUGUCCUGGUUUCAGAAAAUCAGAUAUCGGUAUUUUAGGAGCUUAGCAGGAAAAGCGAUAUCUAGAUCUUUUUUGUUGUACUUUUACCCCUUUUUGUCCCCAACUGGUAGUUACAGUCUUGUCCCAUCGCUGCCACUCCCCUACGGACUCAGGAGAGGCGAAGUCAAGAGCCAUGCGUUCUCCGAAACAUGACCCUGCCAAGCCGCACUGCUUCUUGACACUGCUCGCUUAACCCAGAAGCCAACCGCACCAACGUGUCGGAGGAAACACUGUCCAGCUGGCAACCAGAGUCAACUUGCAGGCACCCGAAGUCAGCUUGCAGGCACCCGAAGUCAGCUCGCAGGAACCCGAAGUCAGCUUGCAGGAACCCGAAGUCAGCUUACAGGAACCCGAAGUCAGCUUGCAGGCAACCGGCCCGCCACAAGGAGUCGCUAGAGCGUGAUGGGACAAGGAAAUACAGGCCAGCCAAACCAGCCAGCUGUGACACAGCCUGGGACCGAACCCGCGUCUGUAGUGAUGCUUCAAGUACUGCAAUGCAGUGCCUUUGACUACUGCGCCACUCGGGAGGCAUAGAUUUAUUUUGUAAUAUAGAAUUUUGAACACAGGUGACUUCAGUCUGGGAUGUUGGAACUGAAUAUUUCCCCAGAUUGUCAGCUCUUGUUAUCCUUUAUCCUUUCAGCUCUUGUUAUCCUCUUGUUAUCCUUGUUAUCCCAAUUAUAGUCUGAGCACACUACUGUGAUAUGCCUUAGAGCAGGUACACGCAUACACAUACACAUACAAACACCACACAUUAUUCAAAACUAAACUAAAAGAAAACCAUUCAAGUAAAAAGCAAUAAUAUUAUUCCAUAAUAGAAAAUACUACCAAUAUUAUCCAUUGUGAACCCAUUUUAGAGAGGGCUGAUUGACCUAAUGUUACCUGGCUAUAUGCAGUGGUCCCAGGGGCGUUGGGGCACAGGCAGACACAACAGGAGGAAGUGGUAUGGGUUAUGGGAUAAUUAAAUAUACCCCACUGUCCCAUGGGCCAUCACCUCACCUACCCCAGUGGUUCAUAAACAGCUCAAGUGCAUCCCCCCCGAGCCACAAACCACACUGCUUCCUCCCUCCAGAUCCUGGGGCUGAAUGUAGUUUGUGUUUGUUUGGUGACAUGAGAAUGACAGGUCCCAGAAAUUGAGCUUCCAUCCCGCUCCCCGCUCCCCUCACCUCUCAUCCCCAUACUCCAGUACAGGAUCAAAUACCCUUGUUUGGUUCUCAAAAAAAUAUUUCAGGAAAUGAAAGUUGUAACACGAUCCUCUGUGUGCCAAACGUCUCCCUGAGCAGGGACAAAAGGCACAGAGAAAUCUGUUUAGGCUAUUUUAGCCUGCAGAUGAUAGAGGGAGAGAGAGAGAAGGAGGGAUAGAGAGACAAGGAGGGAGAGAGAGAGGGAGAAUGACGGCGAGAGAGAGAAUGAGGGACAGAAACAGAGCGCAAAAACAGAGGAAAAGGUGAAGAGUGAGAGGAAGUGCAAGAGAGAGAAAGAUUCAGAGAAAGUAGCAAAAAAGAGAGACAGGAAAGAAAAUAAUAUCAAAAGGGAGAGGGAAGGAAAAGGAUAAGGAGGGGGAUGGGAAUUGCUAUAAACUCUUUGCUGAAACAAAACUAACAGCACUUUGGACACAGGACCCCUAUGCCACAGAUACACGUGCACAAAGGAAAAUAAACAUCCCAUUUCUGCCCUGUCCUAUAUUUCGAGCAAGCCUCUCUUGUGGGAAUGCCUCUGAGGCUCGUCAUUCAGAAGAGGUUCACUGGUUAUGCUCUAGUUACAGUCUUUUUCAAUCGCUGUGGUGCAAUUUUCACAAGUAUGUAGUACAUUUUCACAAUGCUUGGUACAAAACUCAAACCAAAUCAUCAAAAAAGGCAGUUGUUUCAAAACCAUAAGCACAUUUUCAAUUGUCUACUGUAAGUACAACACACAAUCACAAAGACUCUUUUUCCUCAAACUUAAUCAGUGUGUCAUCUAGAAAUGCAUGUUUUAUAAUGCAAUACAUGGUCAUAUAAAGUGAUGGCGUUUUACAAUGCAAUGCUCACAUUACUUUUGAUAUGAUGGUCUUCUCAUUUGUUCAAAUACAUUUGACUAUUACUUAAUCAGACUGCUCUUAAUUGAUAUUAACUUAACAGUUUGGUAAACCUAUAUAUUUUAAACUGGUUCAUCUACUGCAGAUUUUGAGAACUACAUAAUGAAAAUGUAUGUUUGUAAAGUAUAAACAUAUAAAGUGUGAUGUACAGUGCCUUCCGAAGGUAUUCACCCCUUUACUUUUCCACAUUUUGUUGUGAUGCAAAGUGGAUUUAAAAUGUAUUUAAUUGUCAAUGAUCUACACAAAAUAUUCUGUAAUGUCAAAGUGGAAGAAAAAUUCUAACAUUGGGGGGAAAAAAAUACAAAUAAAUACAAAUAAAAUUCUAGUGCUUCCAGACAGUAUUCAUAACUGUUGACUUAUUUUUAAAAGAUUGUGUUACAGCCUGAAUUCAAAAUGUAUUAAAUAUUUGUGUCACCCAUAUACAUACAAUACCCCAUAAUGACAAGGUGAAAACAUGUUUUUAGAAAUGUUUGCAAAUUUAUUCAAAACGAAUCACAGAAAUAUCAAAAUUACGUAAAUUAAACACCCCUGAGUCCAUACUUUGUGGAAGCACCUUUGGCAGUGAUUACAGCUGUGAGUGUUUCUGGGUAAAUCUCUAAGCGCUUUCCACACCUGGCUUGUGCAACAUUUGCCCAUUUAUUUAUUUCAAAAUUCUUCAAGCUUUGUCAAAUUGGUUGUAGAUCAUUGCUAGACAACAAUUUUCAUGUCUUGCCAUAGAUUUCCAAGUAGAUUUAAGUCAUAACUGUAACUUGGCCACUCAGGAACAUUCUCUGUCUUCUUGGUAAGCAACUCCAGUGUAGAUU